rnacentral:rRNA from 1 species
UAAUACGAAGGGGGCAAGCGUUGUUCGGAUUUACUGGGCGUAAAGGGCGCGUAGGCGGAUCUUUAAGUCAGAGGUGAAAGCCCUGGGCUCAACCCGGGAAUUGCCUUUGAGACUGGGGAUCUUGAGUAUGGGAGAGGGUGGCGGAAUACCCAGUGUAGAGGUGAAAUUCGUAGAUAUUGGGUAGAACACCAGUGGCGAAGGCGGCCACCUGGCCCAUAACUGACGCUGAGGCGCGAAAGCGUGGGGAGCAAACAGG